UACGGAGGGUGCGAGCGUUAUCCGGAAUUACUGGGUUUAAAGGGUGCGUAGGCGGCGCAGUAAGUCAGGAGUGAAAGUUUGCGGCUCAACCGUAAAAUUGCUUUUGAUACUGCUGUGCUAGAAUUAGGAUGAGGUCAGCGGAAUGUGGCAUGUAGCGGUGAAAUGCAUAGAUAUGCCAUAGAACACCAAUUGCGAAGGCAGCUGGCUAGACCUAUAUUGACGCUGAGGCACGAAAAGCGUGGGGAGCGAACAGG
rnacentral:rRNA from 1 species